CGGGAAGAAGGCCUUCGGGUUGUAAACCGCUUUGGUCGGGAAGAAAGGGUUCAGGUUAAUACGGCCUGGAUUGUGACGUACCGGCAGAAUAAGCACCGGCUAACUACCGUGC
rnacentral:rRNA from 1 species